rnacentral:rRNA from 1 species
UACGAAGGGUGCAAGCGUUACUCGGAAUUACUGGGCGUAAAGCGUGCGUAGGUGGUGAGUUAAGUCUGUCGUGAAAGCCCCGGGCUCAACCUGGGAAUGGCGAUGGAUACUGGCUCGCUAGAGUGCGGUAGAGGAGAGUGGAACUCCGAGUGUAGAGGUGAAAUUCGUAGAUAUUCGGAAGAACACCAGUGGCGAAGGCGGCUCACUGGCCCGGUACUGACACUGAGGGACGAAAGCUAGGGGAGCGAAUGGG